GCCUGGCUGGCUCAGUAGGUAGAGUGCAUGGCUCUUAAUCUCAGAGCUGUGAGUUCAAGCCUCACGUUGGGUG
rnacentral:tRNA from 1 species